rnacentral:lncRNA from 1 species
GUCGGCGCUGCCACUGGCCCGCGACGGGAACGGGGCGAAAAGGCGGCGGCACCAUGUUCUCCCUCAAGCCGCCCAAACCCACCUUCAGGUCCUACCUCCUGCCACCGCCCCAGACUGACGAUAAGAUCAAUUCGGAACCGAAGAUUAAAAAACUGGAGCCAGUCCUUUUGCCAGAAAUUGUCGUAAAUGAAGUCAAUUUUGUGAGAAAAUGCAUUGCAACAGACACAAGCCAGUACGAUUUGUGGGGAAAGCUGAUAUGCAGUAACUUCAAAAUCUCCUUUAUUACAGAUGACCCAAUGCCAUUACAGAAAUUCCAUUACAGAAACCUUCUUCUUGGUGAACACGAUGUCCCUUUAACAUGUAUUGAGCAAAUUUAAACGACCACAAGAGGAAGCAGAAAGUCCUAGGCCCCAACCAGAAACUGAAAUUUAAUCCAACAGAGUUAAUUAUUUAUUGUAAAGAUUUCAGAAUUGUCAGAUUUCGCUUUGAUGAAUCAGGUCCCGAAAGUGCUAAAAAGGUAUGCCUUGCAAUAGCUCAUUAUUCCCAGCCAACAGACCUCCAGCUACUCUUUGCAUUUGAAUAUGUUGGGAAAAAAUACCACA